rnacentral:lncRNA from 1 species
UGCUAGAUCUGAAUCAACUGAAUAUGGGACUGGAUAUGCUCCUGCUCUCCGCAGAAAUGCUGUGCGAUAUAGCGAAAUAGGGUAAACUCGAUCAGAUACAACCACUGUUACCUGUGCUGGUUCUGCAUCUGGAUAUGAUGGAUCUCCCACCCCGGCUUCUCUUGCCUCCGCUAUUUCUACCUCUGCUACUUUAAUGAACCCCCCGGAUCUAGGCGGGGUGAUGGCUUUGGAUCUAUAGGCUAUGGAACUCAAACUGGGACUUUUGGCUUUAGACCUCGCCAAGACGAUCACGUGAC